GCCAUCGUGGUGUAAUGGUCAGCAUCCUCGGUGCGUAUUCGAGAGGUCCGUGGUUCGAGUCCCGGUGAGGGCA
rnacentral:tRNA from 1 species